UACGUAGGGUGCAAGCGUUGUCCGGAAUUAUUGGGCGUAAAGAGCUCGUAGGCGGUCUGUCGCGUCUGCUGUGAAAACUCAGGGCUUAACCCUGAGCUUGCAGUGGGUACGGGCAGACUAGAGUGCGGUAGGGGAGACUGGAAUUCCUGGUGUAGCGGUGAAAUGCGCAGAUAUCAGGAGGAACACCAAUAGCGAAGGCAGCUCGCUGGGACGUUACUGACACUGGAGGCGCGAAAGCCGUGGGGAGCGAACAGG
rnacentral:rRNA from 1 species